rnacentral:rRNA from 1 species
UACGAAGGGGGCUAGCGUUGCUCGGAUUGACUGGGCGUAAAGGGCGCGUAGGCGGUUUGCAUAGUCAGACGUGAAAUUCCUGGGCUUAACCUGGGGGCUGCGUUUGAUACAUGCAGGCUUGAGUUCGGAAGAGGGUCGUGGAAUUCCCAGUGUAGAGGUGAAAUUCGUAGAUAUUGGGAAGAACACCGGUGGCGAAGGCGGCGACCUGGUCCGAUACUGACGCUGAGGCGCGAAAGCGUGGGGAGCGAACAGG